rnacentral:rRNA from 1 species
GGAUUGAGAUACGGCCCAGAUUCCUACGGGAGGCAGCAGUGGGGAAUAUUGCACAAUGGGCGAAAGCCUGAUGCAGCAACGCCGCUUGCGGGAUGACGGCCUUCGGGUUGUAAACCGCUUUCAGUACCGACGAAGCGAAAGUGACGGUAGGUGCAGAAGAAGGACCGGCCAACUACGUGCCAGCAGCCGCGGUGAUACGUAGGGUCCAAGCGUUGUCCGGAAUUAUUGGGCGUAAAGGGCUUGUAGGCGGUCUGCCGCGUCGGGAGUGAAAACUCAGGGCUUAACUCUGAGCGUGCUUCCGAUACGGGCGGACUAGAGGAAUGCAGGGGAGAAUGGAAUACCUGGUGGAGCGGUGGAAUGCGCAGAUAUCAGGUGGAACACCAGUGGCGAAGGCGGUUCUCUGGGCAUUUCCUGACGCUGAGAAGCGAAAGCGUGGGGAGCAAACAGGCUUAGAUACCCUGGUAGUCCACGCCGUAAACGGUGGGCACUAGGUGUGGGACUCAUUCCACGAGUUCCGUGCCGUAGCUAACGCAUUAAGUGCCCCGCCUGGGGAGUACGGCCGCAAGGCUAAAACUCAAAGGAAUUGACGGGGGCCCGCACAAGCGGCGGAGCAUGCGGAUUAAUUCGAUGCAACGCGAAGAACCUUACCUGGGUUUGACAUAUGCCGGAAAGCUGCAGAGAUGUAGCCCCCGCAAGGUCGGUAUACAGGUGGUGCAUGGCUGUCGUCAGCUCGUGUCGUGAGAUGUUGGGUUAAGUCCCGCAACGAGCGCAACCCUCGUCCUAUGUUGCCAGCGGAUAAUGCCGGGGACUCAUAGGAGACUGCCGGGGUCAACUCGGAGGAAGGUGGGGAUGACGUCAAGUCAUCAUGCCCCUUAUGUCCAGGGCUUCACGCAUGCUACAAUGGCUGGUACAAAGAGCUGCGAGACCGCAAGGUUAAGCGAAUCUCAAAAAGCCAGUCUCAGUUCGGAUUGGGGUCUGCAACUCGACCCCAUGAAGUCGGAGUCGCUAGUAAUCGCAGAUCAGCAAUGCUGCGGUGAAUACGUUCCCGGGCCUUGUACACACCGCCCGUCAAGUCAUGAAAGUCGGUAACACCCGAAGCCGGUUGCCCAACCCUUGUGGAGGGAGCC